UACGUAGGGGGCGAGCGUUGUCCGGAGUUACUGGGCGUAAAGCGCACGUAGGCGGCUUCUUAAGUCGGUGGUGAAAUCCUGGAGCUCAACUCCAGAACUGCCUUCGAUACUGGGAAGCUCGAGUCCGGGAGAGGUGAGUGGAACUGCGAGUGUAGAGGUGAAAUUCGUAGAUAUUCGCAAGAACACCAGUGGCGAAGGCGGCUCACUGGCCCGGUACUGACGCUGAGGUGCGAAAGCGUGGGGAGCAAACAGG
rnacentral:rRNA from 1 species